AGGGACGAUAUCACAGACAUUGGGUUCAUUGACCCGAACACAAUGCAUGUCAAAACCAUAGAUGAUCCCCUCUAUAACAAGGAUACACCGCAGACUUUGCUAAGGUUUUUGAAGCGACAACGUGACAAAAAGCUAAUACUUUGGCCUUACAACUUCGAGUUUCACUUUAUUCUUCUCGUCAUCAAUUUGGAAAUUGGAGAAGUUGAAGUCUUGGACUCACUAACCAAAGAAAAGGAUCUAUACGUGUCUUGUUUUUUAAUGCUCAGAAGCGUAUGGCAAACUUUCAUCAAGGAAGAUACGUCCCGUGAAUGGCCACCGAAGCUGCGAUGGCGUGCGAAAAAAUGCCCGCAACAACCUCCGGGGACCGAUCUCUGUGGAUUCUUCGUUUGCGAGUUCAUCCGCAGAAUUGUCAACGAGAGAACGAAUAAUGAGAGAAAUAAAGAGGUACAAAAACAAUCUUCACAAAUUUGUUUUGUUAUCAUAAGUUGUGCCGAGUUUCAGUAAUAGUUGUUUCAUGUAUUCAUUUGUAUCUUAUUCUUUUAUAGUUGGCAAGAAAGCGGAACAAGCUCUCAAUCGAUGACCGCUUCAUAGCAA